UCUUUCUAUCUUAUUCUCUCUCAGUCAUUCUUCUCUCUUUCUUCCCUUUGUUGCAUUGGCGGCUGGGCUUAACUCUUCCCUUUCCCCUUCCCCUUCCCUCUGCCUCACGCCAGCCAGCACCUCCCUAUCCUCUCACGGUCAUGAAGUCGACAACAACCCUCCCUAUCCUAUCCUCUCACAGUGGCUCACGACUCAGCCCUCUCUCUCACGAUAUCACUCGAAGUUGUACUCUCACAGCCCACCACAAGUACAGUCGGUGACACUCUAAGUCUAAGGCUCUCCUUCUCCGACGUUACUCCUUUUCUGCGUCAUCCUUCUCCGGUGGCACUCCGGGUUCGAGUCCCUUUGCUUCACAGAGGCUCAUGGCUAAAAGAGUGCAUAUAGUAAUAUGGUGGGUCAUGUAUUACCUAUGUUCCUGAGAAUCUUGGCAGUGAAUCUCAGAGCUGGAGUGGGACGGAUAAAAACAACUGAAAUAUCAAGGAGCAUGUUGUCAUAGUUGCUUGAUACAACCAUGAAAUGAACGUUGGAUUUUGGAUUGGACUUUGUUUUCCAUCUACUCUUUUGAACUUGAUUUGUGUUGUAGUGGACCAAGACUUAGAUUUAAUUUGUGUUGUAUUGUACUAUGGACUUUGGACUUUAAGUUUAAAAUUUAACCAUGUAUUGUGAUUUGUGGUUGCAGGCCUUUGGUUUUAAUUGUGUGUUAUUUUGGAUUGGAUAAUAACAUUGGACUUUUGAUAAUGUGUUGUGAUUUGAGGUUAUGCUUAUGGACUUUUAAUUAUGUUUCAAACUAUCAAAUUUGUGGAUGUAACUAUGUUCUAUGU